UUGUGUCAUUUCUCAUCACAGAUACCAGAUGAACAAGAAGUCCAAAGCAAAGCUCAAGUGGUAACAAAAGCCUAGAAAGGGGUAACUGGGAAGGACCAUUUCCUUUAAUAACCUGGGGAAGAGGUGAUGCUGGUGUCUCCACAGGUCACAGUCCCUGGUGAUUACUGGCAAGGUGUGUGCAACCACACCUGAGGUGUGAGAGGCAGCUCUUGGUGGGCACUCAGGGGCCGC